rnacentral:rRNA from 1 species
UACGAAGGGGGCUAGCGUUGCUCGGAAUCACUGGGCGUAAAGCGUGCGUAGACGGUUAUGUAAGUCAGAUGUGAAAGCCCCGGGCUCAACCUGGGAAUUGCAUUUGAGACUGUGUAGCUAGGGUGCGGAAGAGGGAAGCGGAAUUUCCGGUGUAGCGGUGAAAUGCGUAGAUAUCGGAAGGAACACCAGUGGCGAAAGCGGCUUCCUGGUCCAGCACCGACGUUCAGGCACGAAAGCGUGGGGAGCAAACAGG